CGGAGGGGUCUGGGAGCUUCUGGCAUGGCCCAAGGGUCAUAAUGCUGGGCAAGAAGUACAAUGACCGUGUCCUUUAAU
rnacentral:pre_miRNA from 1 species